GAUUUCUGGUUUGUCACACUAGCCCAGGGCUUCGGUUCUGAGUGUUGGUGUGUACUCUCCAUCCUUCUAGAGAGCUGUGCGUACCGUUAACUCGGCCGCGCGCAUGCGAUCUAGAUCUUUUACUUUGAGCAUGGAAUAAUAAUAUAGGACUUUGUUUCUAUUUUGUUGGUUUCUAGGAAUGAAGUAAUGAUUGAUAGGGAUAGUUGGGGGUGCUAGUAUUCAGCGGCCAGAGGUGAAAUUCUUGGAUUCGCUGAAGACUAACUACUGCGAAAGCAUU
rnacentral:rRNA from 1 species